UUAUUGAUUUGCAUGUCAGAUUAGUUCGAUCAUUUAUCAUCCGGAGAGUUCUGAUUCUGAUUUAAUGGCGAUUUAGGUUUAGAUUGAAUCACUCAAUUUAGAGUUUUAUUCUUCUGGGAUUUGAUUGUUGUGUUUGUAUGGCAGAUUGUUCGCAAACCAGCUCACUUGUUCCUUGACGAGAUUGGUGUUGCUUACGAUGAGCAAGACAACUACGUUGUGGUUAAGCACGCUGCUCUGUUCACAUCUACAAUCAUGAGCAAGCUUUUGGCUCGUCCUAACGUGAAGCUCUUCAACGCCGUGGCUGCUGAGGAUCUGAUCGUGAAAGGAAACAGAGUUGGUGGUGUGGUGACUAACUGGGCUCUUGUGGCUCAGAACCACGACUCACAGUCGUGCAUGGACCCUAACGUCAUGGAGGCCAAGAUUGUGGUGAGCUCUUGUGGACAUGAUGGUCCUUUUGGAGCCACUGGUGUCAAGAGGUUGAAGAGCAUUGGCAUGAUCGAUCAUGUUCCUGGGAUGAAGGCUUUGGACAUGAACACUGCUGAAGACGCUAUUGUGAGAUUGACCAGAGAGGUUGUUCCUGGUAUGAUUGUGACCGGUAUGGAAGUUGCUGAGAUCGAUGGUGCCCCAAGAAU
rnacentral:lncRNA from 1 species